GACGAACGCUGGCGGCGUGCUUAACACAUGCAAGUCGAACGGAAAGGCCCUGCUUGCAGGGUGCUCGAGUGGCGAACGGGUGAGUAACACGUGGGUGAUCUGCCCCUUACUUUGGGAUAAGCCUGGGAAACUGGGUCUAAUACUGGAUAGGACCAUGCUGUAGGUGGUGUGGUGGAAAGAUUAGUUUCGGUAAGGGAUGAGCUCGCGGCCUAUCAGCUUGUUGGUGGGGUAAUGGCCUACCAAGGCGUCGACGGGUAGCCGGCCUGAGAGGGUGGACGGCCACAUUGGGACUGAGAUACGGCCCAGACUCCUACGGGAGGCAGCAGUGGGGAAUAUUGCACAAUGGGCGCAAGCCUGAUGCAGCGACGCCGCGUGGGGGAUGACGGCCUUCGGGUUGUAAACUCCUUUCAGCCAUGACGAAGCCUUCAGGUGACGGUAGUGGUAGAAGAAGCACCGGCUAACUACGUG
rnacentral:rRNA from 1 species